rnacentral:rRNA from 1 species
GACGGAGGAUGCAAGCGUUAUCCGGAAUGAUUGGGCGUAAAGCGUCCGCAGGUGGCAGUUCAAGUCUGCUGUCAAAGACCGGGGCUUAACUUCGGAAAGGCAGUGGAAACUGAACAGCUAGAGUAUGGUAGGGGCAGAGGGAAUUCCUGGUGUAGCGGUGAAAUGCGUAGAGAUCAGGAAGAACAUCGGUGGCGAAGGCGCUCUGCUGGGCCGUUGCUGACGCUGAGGCGCGACAGCGUGGGGAGCAAACAGG